ACUCAAAUGAAUUGACGGGGACCCGCACAAGCAGUGGAGCGCCUGGUUUAAUUCGAUGAUCAGCGAAGAACCUCACCUGGGCUUGAAAUGUAGCUGCAACGCCGGUGAAAGCCGGAAUCCUUCGAGGGUGCUAUAUAGGUGCUGCAUGGCUGUCGUCAGCUCGUGUCGUGAGAUGUAGGGUUAAGUCCCACAACGAGCGCAACCCCUAUCUGAUGUUACAAUUACUUCAGAGACUGCCUCAUCUCAGUGAGGAGGAAGGAGGGGAUGACGUCCAGUCUUCAUGGCCCUUAUGUCCAGGGCUACACAGACGCUACAAUGGCUAUUACAAUGGGCUGCCAAACCGCGAGGUGGAGCUAAUCCCAUCAAAAAUAGUCUCAGUUCAGAUUGCAGGCUGCAACUCGCCUGCAUGAAGUCGGAAUUGCUAGUAAUCGUGCAUCAGCGUGGCACGGUGAAUACGUUCUCGGGUCUUGUACACACCGCCCGU
rnacentral:rRNA from 1 species